CUGUUUUAAUAAGGAUUAAA
rnacentral:snRNA from 1 species